CAGCAGCCGCGGGAAUACGUAGGUGGCAAGCGUUGUCCGGAAUUAUUGGGCGUAAAGGGCUCGCAGGCGGUUUCUUAAGUCUGAUGUGAAAGCCCCCGGCUCAACCGGGGAGGGUCAUUGGAAACUGGGAAACUUGAGUGCAGAAGAGGAGAGUGGAAUUCCACGUGUAGCGGUGGAAUGCGUAGAGAUGUGGAGGAACACCAGUGGCGAAGGCGACUCUCUGGUCUGUAACUGACGCUGAGGAGCGAAAGCGUGGGGAGCGAACAGGAUUAGAUACCCCAGUAGUCCCUGUCUCUUAUAC
rnacentral:rRNA from 1 species